AAAAUUGGGCUGACUAACUUCUUAAAUUGCAGCUAUGAGCAGAUAGGUAAAAUCCCUUGAGGAGCCUCAACGCUAAUAGCCAGAGUUAAUAAAAAUAUGCAUGCAUACCUGUUGCCAAGUAUUUACCAACCAAGCUUUAAGUAAUUGCCGUCUGCAUGCCUACCUUGGUUCCACAUCAUCAUCAUCAUCAGCCCAAGCGCAGAUAUUAGCUCACUGCCAGCAUCCCGGACCGUGUGAGCGCUAGCGUGGGCGAGUGGUGCUGUCAUACGAGUGGUGACGCGCCACAGUCACACUCAGCAGGGGUGUCGUCUCACCAAACCCAAAAGCUCGCCUGUGAACCCGUCUCCUUCCUUCAGCCUGUGUUGCCUGUGAUCCACUUAUCACACCAUCCCUCCAACCAGGCGUCGUCUUUCUGUUGGCAGCACAGUUUCCAGGCAGCAUCUCUGUGUUAUUGUGAGCAGCUCCAGUCGUUAAAUCAUCCACAACCAAGUCAAUCUCAUCCUCUUUGAGAGACACGAACAGGAUACCCGCACUGAGAAUGACAUUAUAGCGUGACUUGUAGAACUCGCUGGCAGCUACGCACACACCUCCAAGGAAUAACAGCCCCACACUGAGGAUGGGGAAGAGGCUGGAGGCCCGUACUGCUCCUG